rnacentral:tRNA from 1 species
GGUAAUUAGUUUAAUUAAAAUUAAUGAUUUCGGCUCAUUAGAUUAUGGUUCUAUCCCAUAAUUGCCA